rnacentral:rRNA from 1 species
GGGACACGUGGUAUCCUGUCUGAAUAUGGGGGGACCAUCCUCCAAGGCUAAAUACUCCUGACUGACCGAUAGUGAACCAGUACCGUGAGGGAAAGGCGAAAAGAACCCCGGCGAGGGGAGUGAAAAAGAACCUGAAACCGUGUACGUACAAGCAGUGGGAGCACGCUUAGGCGUGUGACUGCGUACCUUUUGUAUAAUGGGUCAGCGACUUAUAUUCUGUAGCAAGGUUAACCGAAUAGGGGAGCCGAAGGGAAACCGAGUCUUAACUGGGCGUUAAGUUGCAGGGUAUAGACCCGAAACCCGGUGAUCUAGCCAUGGGCAGGUUGAAGGUUGGGUAACACUAACUGGAGGACCGAACCGACUAAUGUUGAAAAAUUAGCGGAUGACUUGUGGCUGGGGGUGAAAGGCCAAUCAAACCGGGAGAUAGCUGGUUCUCCCCGAAAGCUAUUUAGGUAGCGCCUCGUGAAUUCAUCUCCGGGGGUAGAGCACUGUUUCGGCAAGGGGGUCAUCCCGACUUACCAACCCGAUGCAAACUGCGAAUACCGGAGAAUGUUAUCACGGGAGACACACGGCGGGUGCUAACGUCCGUCGUGAAGAGGGAAACAACCCAGACCGCCAGCUAAGGUCCCAAAGUCAUGGUUAAGUGGGAAACGAUGUGGGAAGGCCCAGACAGCCAGGAUGUUGGCUUAGAAGCAGCCAUCAUUUAAAGAAAGCGUAAUAGCUCACUGGUCGAGUCGGCCUGCGCGGAAGAUGUAACGGGGCUAAACCAUGCACCGAAGCUGCGGCAGCGACGCUUAUGCGUUGUUGGGUAGGGGAGCGUUCUGUAAGCCUGUGAAGGUGUGCUGUGAGGCAUGCUGGAGGUAUCAGAAGUGCGAAUGCUGACAUAAGUAACGAUAAAGCGGGUGAAAAGCCCGCUCGCCGGAAGACCAAGGGUUCCUGUCCAACGUUAAUCGGGGCAGGGUGAGUCGACCCCUAAG